CACAGGCAGUGACGGGGCGUCUGACCCCCGGGAGCUUGCCACUCUUGGCACCCACCAGAUCACCAGCAGCCAUGCCAAAGCCUGCCCCUCGCCCAGCCAUGCCGCUCAUGCUGCCUCGAAGGCGGAGACCCACAAGCUGCUCUCAAGGCAGCACGGCGUGUCUGUUCCAGCAGCUGCUUCUGCGGAAGAACCUGCAGCCGUCCCCGUCUGAGUGCCCAGAGCAUCCUUUGCUCAGUCACAGAAAAUAGGCAGCUCAACGGAUGGGUUCUGCUCGGAGGGCAGCCCCACAGUGACUCAAGGACAAGCCUGCUGGGGUCCCCACGGCCCGGCCCCUCACCCCCGGGGCCCCCAGAGCUGCCGUGCUCACUCAAGCCUGUGACCGCUGCCUGCUGUCUGCAGCCAAGCCCGCCUGCUCCUGUCUGCCCAGCAGGCUGCACCACCCGACAGCCACAGUGACGCUGGGCAUGUGUGAGCUCUCUGCAGAGUCCACAGUCCUGGGGCUACCGCUCCAAGGAGAGGCGAGUGGAGGAGGCUGAUCUCUGCUCACCUCAGCUGCUCUGACCCUGGACCUCUGCAGAACCAUCCCAGGACGCAGGCGGUUGGGCCGACUGGGUGCCGUCUGCCUUCCUUCCUUGCUGCCCUCCCCAUCUGCUGUCAGACCUUUAUUAAAGAUCGGGGCCCUAAUCUCACCUCAUAUA